rnacentral:lncRNA from 1 species
CGAAAAUGAGUUGUGAGGGAAAUCUAAUUACAUCGGAGUACUCAGUAGCUACAGUCAAAUGGCUGAAAAGUAUCCAGACUUGAUCACAGGGUUUGUUUGCCAAAAGAAGGAUACAACCCUCCAACCCUUGCUUGAUCCAGUUGACUCCCGGUGUCCAGCUGGAGAGCUCUAAGGAUGACCUGGGAAAGAUCUGCAAUACCCCUGAGAAGGUGAUAAAUCUUUGACUUUGACGUUUGCAAGUAGCCCUAAUAGCCACUGCAUCCUGAAUUGUAAUUAUGAGCCACCAAUAACAAAAAAGAUGUCUGUGACAUGGAUCCCUAAUAUUCUCUCAGAUGGUGACGAAUAAAGAAAGAAGAACCCAGGAGUAUAAAAAAUACUUACAUACAUACCUACCAUUGUGGUGCUGUACAUACAUACAUAGUCACACCACCAUACCAGGAUGGACUGAGCCAAGCACUACCAAGAAGACCAACUGCAGCCUCUUGUGAUGGACAUAAUGACCAGAGUGGUGACAGAUAAGCAACCCAUCACAAAUAUAAAUAUUUCGUUUUUCUGUGCAAGUUUUGAUGUUAUAAAUAAAAUACAAUCAAAAAGUAUUUGUAAAAAGUAUGUUUUAUUACUAGUUUAGUAGGGAACAGAAAUAAAAUAAAUAAACAAA